rnacentral:rRNA from 1 species
AGUCGAGCGGUAGCACAGAGAGCUUGCUCUCGGGUGACGAGCGGCGGACGGGUGAGUAAUGUCUGGGAAACUGCCUGAUGGAGGGGGAUAACUACUGGAAACGGUAGCUAAUACCGCAUAACGUCGCAAGACCAAAGUGGGGGACCUUCGGGCCUCAUGCCAUCAGAUGUGCCCAGAUGGGAUUAGCUAGUAGGUGGGGUAACGGCUCACCUAGGCGACGAUCCCUAGCUGGUCUGAGAGGAUGACCAGCCACACUGGAACUGAGACACGGUCCAGACUCCUACGGGAGGCAGCAGUGGGGAAUAUUGCACAAUGGGCGCAAGCCUGAUGCAGCCAUGCCGCGUGUGUGAAGAAGGCCUUCGGGUUGUAAAGCACUUUCAGCGGGGAGGAAGGCGGUGAGGUUAAUAACCUCAUCGAUUGACGUUACCCGCAGAAGAAGCACCGGCUAACUCCGUGCCAGCAGCCGCGGUAAUACGGAGGGUGCAAGCGUUAAUCGGAAUUACUGGGCGUAAAGCGCACGCAGGCGGUCUGUCAAGUCGGAUGUGAAAUCCCCGGGCUCAACCUGGGAACUGCAUUCGAAACUGGCAGGCUAGAGUCUUGUAGAGGGGGGUAGAAUUCCAGGUGUAGCGGUGAAAUGCGUAGAGAUCUGGAGGAAUACCGGUGGCGAAGGCGGCCCCCUGGACAAAGACUGACGCUCAGGUGCGAAAGCGUGGGGAGCAAACAGGAUUAGAUACCCUGGUAGUCCACGCUGUAAACGAUGUCGAUUUGGAGGUUGUGCCCUUGAGGCGUGGCUUCCGGAGCUAACGCGUUAAAUCGACCGCCUGGGGAGUACGGCCGCAAGGUUAAAACUCAAAUGAAUUGACGGGGGCCCGCACAAGCGGUGGAGCAUGUGGUUUAAUUCGAUGCAACGCGAAGAACCUUACCUGGUCUUGACAUCCACAGAACUUUCCAGAGAUGGAUUGGUGCCUUCGGGAACUGUGAGACAGGUGCUGCAUGGCUGUCGUCAGCUCGUGUUGUGAAAUGUUGGGGUUAAGUCCCGCAACGAGCGCAACCCUUAUCCUUUGUUGCCAGCGGUCCGGCCGGGAACUCAAAGGAGACUGCCAGUGAUAAACUGGAGGAA